AUUGAACGCUGGCGGCAGGCUUAACACAUGCAAGUCGAGCGAGCGGCGGACGGGUGAGUAAUGUCUGGGAAACUGCCUGAUGGAGGGGGAUAACUACUGGAAACGGUAGCUAAUACCGCAUACUAUCACAUGUGCCCAGAUUGGAUGAGCUAGUAUGUGGGGUAAUGGCUCACCUAGGCGACGAUCCCUAGCUGUUCUGAGAGGAUGACCAGCCACACUGGAACCGAGACACGGUCCAGACUCCGACGGGAGGCAGAAGUGGGGAAUAUUGCACAAUGGGCUCAAGCCUGAUGCAGCAAUGCCGCGUGUGUGAAGAAGGCCUUCGGGUUGUAAAGCACUUUGAGCGAGGAGGCGUGACUCGCAGAAGAAGCACCGGCUAACUCCGGGCCAGCAGCCGCGGUAAUAC
rnacentral:rRNA from 1 species